rnacentral:rRNA from 1 species
AGUGAACGCUGGCGGUAGGCCUAACACAUGCAAGUCGAACGGCAGCACAGUAAGAGCUUGCUCUUACGGGUGGCGAGUGGCGGACGGGUGAGGAAUACAUCGGAAUCUACUUUUUCGUGGGGGAUAACGUAGGGAAACUUACGCUAAUACCGCAUACGACCUACGGGUGAAAGCAGGGGAUCUUCGGACCUUGCGCGAUUGAAUGAGCCGAUGUCGGAUUAGCUAGUUGGCGGGGUAAAGGCCCACCAAGGCGACGAUCCGUAGCUGAUCUGAGAGGAUGAGAGGCAGCACUGGAGCAGAGCCACCGUCCAGACUACUGAGGGACGCAGCAGGCGGGGAGGUGGAACAAUGGCGUCAAGCCUUAUGGAGCAAUGCCGCGGAAGUAAAGAAAGCCUGCGCAUCCUAAACCUCUGUUAUUAGAAAAAAACAACAGUCUCCGGAAAUAGCCACGCUCUGACCGGACCUAAACAAAAAGCCCCGGCGAGCUUGGUG